AUACGGAGGAUCCGAGCGUUAUCCGGAUUUAUUGGGUUUAAAGGGUGCGCAGGUGGACUAAUAAGUCAGAGGUGAAAUUUUGCAGCUUAACUGUAAACGUGCCUUUGAUACUGUUAGACUAGAGUUUAAGGGACGUAACCGGAAUGUGAUGUGUAGCGGUGAAAUGCAUAGAUAUGUCACAGAACGCCGAUCGUGAAGACAGGUUACGAACUUAAUACUGACGCUCAGGCACGAAAGCGUGGGGAUC
rnacentral:rRNA from 1 species